rnacentral:ncRNA from 1 species
GAAUCCGAAUGUACAAAAAAAAUCCAUUUCCGAAUCCGAAUGUUUCCGAAUGUAAGCAAAAAGUGUAAGGUAAACGGCGGGAGUAACUAUGACUCUUUUAAUUUACAAAAAUGUCUCGUCAUCUAAUUAGUGCGCACAUAAAUUGACUGACAAGAUUC